AAUACUUUCAGACCAGUUUGGAGGCACUGAGUAGGAGUAAGCUAAAAGAGAAAGAGCAAGACAAAAAGAACACUUGCUUUUGGAGUUUGAAGCUGCACUGGAAACGAGCCUUUCAGGGUGUCUGAAAGAGGAAAGUCUGUCUGUGUGGGAUAAGAAAUGAGGGGAGAUAAAUGGACAGUGGACAGAUUGCCGAGGGCUGUAUGGGCUGAGAUAAGGGUUGUGGGCUAGAUUUUUAAAUUUAGGGCAAAAUAGUGAAGGAUUUUAAGCAUGGAGUGACAGAGAAGAAUACCAGCCUGCAGGAACAGAAGGCAAAGUUCUGUGGUUGCCAUGGAUUGGGGUGGCUCGGUUGGCUUUCGAGGUAAAAGUCUGCAGUUGAGAAGUUCGAGGGUAGUAAGUACUCAAGGCCGGGUAUAACAUAAGAUCAAUCAAAGCUCUUAAGACAUGGAUAUCAUCUUCAGAGUUUUUAGCAAUAGAGGUAGAGAAGAAAAACAGGUGGCUACUGAUAUCCAAGUCCUCCACAAAUACCAGGGAGAGUCAGGAGUUGGACAGAGGAGACGGAUCACGCUGGUUACUGUGAGCCUCAACACUGGUGUUUUUGUUUCAAGGUGGGGGAGAUGUGCUUUGGAGGCACGAUAAGGAAGUAACAGGAAUGUGCCCAUGGAGGAAGGUGGGAGGCUGAGUUGUCUCCUCUUGAGAGGAGUUGAGUUACGUCAAAGUUUAAGGGAAGAAAAUCUAUGAAUUUUCUACCUAAAGGAUUCUAGAAGUAUCAGAGGUAUCCCGGCCUCCUCCAUCUUGAAUAUCUAUUUCCACCUUUGAGUCUGCCUCUUGGAAAUCGUGACCUGAUACACAUGAAGGAAAGCAUUUGCUUGUUCAAUAAGAUCCAAAAAGAAAGGAAGAAGAUAAUCUAUGCAUUCCUGACACUGGUUACCUGGUGCUUUUUUGACUGAGCACCUGAUGGAGCUGUUAGAAUUAAGCUAAGUACCAAGUACGAGGUGACACAGACUGGCCACCCCUUUUUGGGUAGUGCUCAGGAGGAACAGAUGACUCACCCUGGUGUGGACUGGGGGGUGAGGAACCUGGCUCCAUCUUGGAACACUGGCUUAUUUUGGGUGAGAAAGAACGGACAGAUUCACUCAUUCUCCACCCAGCUCUGAGUGUCUCAACUGAGAGUAAGAAGCGGCUUAGCAGAGAAGGGCAAAGGCUGUAUCUCGAUUCCAUGCUGGGUUUCCCUCGCACUUUCCAUUCAGGUCUCAGGGUGUAUGUCUGGGACCCCUCAUGUCCCUCAGGGUUGCUCGUAACGUUCAUUUGUCCAGCACCCCCUGGAUGGAAAUGCUAGGGAGACCUGCCUGGUUUCACACCUCUCAUGUGGAAAGAUCAGCGUGCCAGACGUUGCCCUCGGUUUGUAGCUGGAGGAGUCUCCAGCUGAAAAGCAAGGGGUCUGGGGCAGAGGGCUCAUGGACGUCACCUGAAUAGAGGUCACACCUACACUAGCAGGUUUAGAACCUGUGACUUGGAAAUUUCAGAAAAUAAUAAUAAGAUUUUCUGGCUUUUCUGCCUUAGGGAACGUGCAGACAGACUCGAGCAGAAAUCUUGCCUUGCCCCAGCCAGCCCACUUUUCUCUCCACAAGGAAAGAGCUGGUUAAGGCGCCAGCCAGGAACCAUUUCACCAGCGUUCACCUCCACGCAUGCCCCGUCCAUCAGCCUCUCUGCGAAGAGGAAACCUCAGCACUAGAAAAGGAGACAGAUGCUGCCAUGGACGCCUUCCCGCCUUCAAGGGAGGUGAUGUAACACAAAGGACUUGAACGUUCCACCCUACAUGUGAGGAAACACGCCUAAGAUGGAGCGAGUGGCCUAAAAUCUCCAGCCAGUGAGUGACGAGCGAAGAAAGAGAACUCUAGUCCUCCAGCGCAGGGAGGUUUCUCAUUCCAGCACAUCGAAAUGCAGGAAGAACAUUUCCUCUACCUGGACAUUGAAGGAGAGAAUGGGAUCAAGGUCACUCAGGGAAGGCGUCCUGGCUGGCCAGAGAGGAGGCUCCUCCCAAGUCUCCACCUUGGUACAGUCACUGUCAACACCUGCCCCACAGUCUCAGAAUCCUGGAUUGUCUGAAAUCCAAGAAGGGAAUUCAACCCUCCCAGGCACAGGGACCUUACUGGGCCCAGCCUCUCCUGGCAGCUCGUCCCCCUGCAGAGAAUCAGGAGAAAAUGGGUGCGUGUACUUGUGUAUGUGUGUGUGUACUUGUGUGUGUGUAUUUAGUCACACAAUUAAAAUAUUAAGCAAAAUCAAGUUAAGAGUAACCUGAUUUGUACCCCUGAGAAUUGGGCCAUUUUGAGGGUUA